rnacentral:rRNA from 1 species
CGACUACGAGUUUGAUCCUGGCUCAGAUUGAACGCUGGCGGCAUGCCUAACACAUGCAAGUCGAACGGAGGUAGGGGCAACUCUACUUCAGUGGCGGACGGGUGAGGAAUGCGUCGGAAUCUACCCUAGAGCGGGGGACAACCCGGGGAAACCCGGGCUAAUACCGCAUACGUCCUACGGGAGAAAGAGGGCCUCUGCUUGCACGCUCUCACUCCAGGAUGAGCCCACGUCCGAUUAGCUAGUUGGUAGGGUAAAGGCCUACCAAGGCCACGAUCGGUAGCUGGUCUGAGAGGAUGAUCAGCCACACUGGGACUGAGACACGGCCCAGACUCCUACGGGAGGCAGCAGUGGGGAAUAUUGGACAAUGGGCGCAAGCCUGAUCCAGCAAUGCCGCGUGUGUGAAGAAGGCCUGCGGGUUGUAAAGCACUUUCAGUGGGGAAGAACAGAUUCGGGUCAAUACCCCGGAGCCCUGACGUUACCCACAGAAGAAGCACCGGCUAACUCCGUG